UUCACUUAGAUACUGGAUACCUUCACCCGUAUGUUAGGUCAACGUAUCAACUUUGACAAAUCCAUGGUGUAUUUUAGCCCCAACACUCCUGUUUCCCAUCGCGAUAGCCUUAGCCGACUGCUUAGGAUGAAAGUGGUCACCAGGCUUGAUACUUAUCUGGGCUUGCCUAUUCCGGUUGGUAAGAAGAAGUCUGCCGCAUUCAAAAGUAUCUUGGACCGCACAGCUAAUAGGAUAAACAGUUGGUCCAAACGGCUUUUAUCCUAUGGUGGGAAAGAAACCUUCAUUAAGUCGAUUCUUC
rnacentral:lncRNA from 1 species